AUGUCUUAUUGCUCAUCUGUUCAAGACGUCUCCUGUUUUCAGAGAACAAUUCUGGACAUCAAUACAGAAUACAGCUAUAGAAUUCUAGACAUCAAUACAGAAUACAGCUAUAGAAUUCUAGACAUCAAUACAGAAUACAGCUAUAGAAUUCUAGACAUCAGUGUAGAAUACAGCUAUAGAAUUCUAGACAUCAGUACAGAAUACAGCUAUAGAAUUCUAGACAUCAGUGUAGAAUACAGCUAUAGAAUUCUAGACAUCAGUGUAGAAUACAGCUAUAGAAUUCUAGACAUCAGUACAGAAUACAGCUAUAGAAUUCUAGACAUCGAUACAGAAUACAGCUAUAGAAUUCUAGACAUCAGUACAGAAUACAGCUAUAGAAUUCUAGACAUCAAUACAGAAUACAGCUAUAGAAUUCUAGACAUCAGUGUAGAAUACAGCUAUAGAAUUCUAGACAUCAGUACAGAAUACAGCUAUAGAAUUCUAGACAUCAGUGUAGAAUACAGCUAUAGAAUUCUAGACAUCAGUACAGAAUACAGCUAUAGAAUUCUAGACAUCAGUGUAGAAUACAGCUAUAGAAUUCUAGACAUCAGUACAGAAUACAGCUAUAGAAUUCUAGACAUCAGUACAGAAUACAGCCAUAGAAUUCUAGACAUCAGUGUAGAAUACAGCUAUAGAAUUCUAGACAUCAGUAUAGAAUACAGCUAUAGAAUUCUAGACAUCAAUACAGAAUACCGCUAUAGAAUUCUAGACAUCAAUACAGAAUACAGCUAUAGAAUUCUAGACAUCAGUACAGAAUACAGCUAUAGAAUUCUAGACAUCAGUGUAGAAUACAGCUAUAGAAUUCUAGACAUCAAUACAGAAUACAGCUAUAGAAUUCUAGACAUCAGUACAGAAUACAGCUAUAGAAUUCUAGACAUCAGUGUAGAAUACAGCUAUAGAAUUCUAGACAUCAGUACAGAAUACAGCUAUAGAAUUCUAGACAUCGAUACAGAAUACAGCUAUAGAAUUCUAGACAUCAGUACAGAAUACAGCUAUAGAAUUCUAGACAUCCAUACAGAAUACAGCUAUAGAAUUCUAGACAUCAAUACAGAAUACAGCUAUAGAAUUCUAGACAUCAGUACAGAAUACAGCUAUAGAAUUCUAGACAUCAGUACAGAAUACAGCCAUAGAAUUCUAGACAUCAGUGUAGAAUACAGCUAUAGAAUUCUAGACAUCAGUACAGAAUACAGCUAUAGAAUUCUAGACAUCAAUACAGAAUACAGCUAUAGCUCUGACGGCUCUGCUUAUUUGUUGGGUCAAGUUGCCCCUAAAUACUGGUCUUGGGCAGUUUUGCUAGCCUGGGUCCCACGUCUCUGUGUUAUCUUGCUAACUCCCAGCUGUGUGAGGAAGGAAGCUAUACAGUUAAGCAAGCACAGUGAAACCUAUUACACCUACUCCAUUGCUAACUCUCAUUGUCAAGCCAUUUUGUGUGGGAUGUCAAUUCCAUAA
rnacentral:lncRNA from 1 species